UGUAUGUAGAGGGCGGGACUCGAACUGAAAGGAACAAGGCGCGGCCAAGAACCCCUUCACACGUGUAGACAAAGGGACCAUCAACACAACUCAAACAUGCAGGGGAAAGUUUUCCAGGACCUCGCGAAGCGCCCAGGCCAGCACGCACGGGUCUGCGAGUACUGGAUAACUUCUGCUUUCAACGGACGCCCUUUGAAGGAUUUAUUUAAUGAUUAUUUUUCGCUGUGGAAUAUUAUUACUGUCCUUCGUGAUUAUUGGACUAUUCAUAAUGAGAAUGAUUACUUUCAACGUAUAGACACCAUGGACAAACAAAAGAAUCAGAUCGGAUCUGCUGCAGCGGUGACGAGAGGAACAGGAUGAUUCGCUCAAGAGAAAUCGUCUGGCAUGAGGGGUUCAGGGUGUUUUUGCAGCUCUUGUUGACUGAUCAAGAGAAGCAGAAGCACUUCACGCUUGUGUUUUUGUGAUCUGCUGGCAGUUUGCUCGCGUCCCACGCUCUGAGUCAAACCUUCUAGCGCUGAUCCAGGACCAGCCUCUGUAGACCCAGCAGAGCCGUCUGAGAGAGCGUGAAGCUGAGCUCAGAUCAGCAGCAGACGCAGAGAAUCGAGCCUCUUCCUCAGGAAGAAGCAGGCCUGACUGUGUGGCACGCAGGUCUCCUUCAGCCGGAUGUUUGCAGAGCUCAGUGGCACACCUGCUGCA